UGGUGCAGGUGGUGUUACCCAUGGUGCAUCGCGCCAUGGAAGAAGACGACAGCAUGGCGGCUUGGCAUUGGAGAGAAGGAAGAACUGCCCGAAAAUUCGUGCUUGGAGCCGCGCAACGCCACGUUUUGGAGGCAGGUGUCUGACACAGCAGCAGUGGCGGCUUGCCUUGGUACUGUAACAGAACUUUGGUUUUGCCACCUCAUGAUGUGGACUUGCUAGGGCAGCUGUCCAACAUGACAUCAUUGCCGACUCCGGCCUCCUGUCCAAACAUGAGCAGAUGAGAGUUUAUUCCUGUGCAGCUAAGUUAUGUACUGAUUAUAUCUUCUUGUGAUAUUUGCUUGUCAAAGUUGAUUGUUGGCCAAAAGUCUGUUGUUUAAGAUCUUUUAAUUACUGUCAGCAUCUUACCUUCCAUUUAAUGCUUCUGGUGUGUAGAUUUGUGAGCCUGCUCAAAGCAACAUACACUUAGUAAUGCUGUUUUUUAUAUAUUUUUUCUCCAAUAACCGUUCGUUAGUUAUUUGAGAGUAUCAAGUUGAAUACAUUGUCAAACAUUUUGUAGGAAACAAUGUUUAUUAGAAAACUGGUAACAUGUCCAGUUCUUUCAUGCAGAAUUCAGUCUGUAUCAGAACUAACUAACAAAUCUUGGCAUUGCACCCUCGUUCCUCCUCUAACAUACAUUCUACAUGAAAGAACAGACUUUUGUGUGGUGAAAUGUAUUAAAUUUUGAAUAAUACUGGCUUUGAUUGGAUGAUCAGUUUCAAUGCUGGAUUUUUUUGUUUUGGAUAGAUAGGAAAACGUGUUCAUGUAAGGAUUACAUAAUCUGAUUGUUGUU